rnacentral:rRNA from 1 species
AACAAACGCUGGCGGCGUGCCUAAUACAUGCAAGUCGAACGGGGAAAGCUUUCGGGUGAGUACUAGUGGCGCACGGGUGAGUAACGCGUGGAUAAUCUGCCCUCGAAUGGGGAAUAACUAGUCGAAAGAUUAGCUAAUACCGCAUAAGACCCCGACUACUGAGGUAGUUGGGGUCCAAGGAGCAAUUCGUUUGAGGAUGAGUCCGCGUAAGAUUAGCUAGUUGGUGAGGUAAUGGCUCACCAAGGCGAUGAUCUUUAACUGGUCGGAGAGGAUGACCAGUCACACUGGAACUGAGACACGGUCCAGACUCCUACGGGAGGCAGCAGUAGGGAAUAUUGGACAAUGGGGGCAACCCUGAUCCAGCGACGCCGCGUGAGCGAUGAAGGCCUUCGGGUCGUAAAGCUCUGUUGUAAGGGAAAAAGUUCUGAUUGUACCUUACGAGAAAGGAUCGGCUAACUUCGUGCCAGCAGCCGCAGUAA